rnacentral:rRNA from 1 species
UACAGGGGGUGCAAGCGUUGCUCGGAAUCACUGGGCGUAAAGCGUACGCAGGCGGACCGUUAAGUCGGAUGUGAAAGCCCGGGGCUCAACCCCGGAACGGCAUUCGAAACUGGCGGUCUUGAAUACGGGAGAGGUGAAUGGAAUUCCUGGUGUAGAGGUGAAAUUCGUAGAUAUUCGGAAGAACACCAGUGGCGAAGGCGACUUACUGGACGACUGUUGACGCUGAGGUGCGAAAGCGUGGGGAGCAAACAGG